rnacentral:rRNA from 1 species
AUGAAAAUUAUUUUUUGCGAAAAACGUGUUUUUUUUCUUACUUCCGUGAAAGGCACGGUUUUUCUUUCGCGAGAGGCACCGAGCAGUGCCUCUUGGAAACGAAAAAAAAAACGUGUUUUCCGUUUUUUUCUUCCGCGAGAGUUAUUGUUUUGCUUCGGCGAGAGGCAUGACUUUGCCUCUCGGAAACGAAAAAAACGCGUUUUUUGUUUUUUUCUUCCGCGAGUGGCACGGUUUUUCUUCCGUGUGAGAGUCACUAUUUUGCUUCGACGAGAGGCAUGGCCUUGCCUCUUAGAAACAAAAAAAAAUGUUUUUUCUGUUUUUGUUUCUUUCCGCGAGAGGCACUGUUUUGCUUUCGCGUCGUGCCUCUCGUAA